UACGUAGGGUCCGAGCGUUGUCCGGAAUUACUGGGCGUAAAGAGCUCGUAGGCGGCUUGUCGCGUCGACUGUGAAAACUCGGGGCUCAACUCCGAGCUUGCAGUCGAUACGGGCAGGCUAGAGUUCGGUAGGGGAGACUGGAAUUCCUGGUGUAGCGGUGAAAUGCGCAGAUAUCAGGAGGAACACCGAUGGCGAAGGCAGGUCUCUGGGCCGAUACUGACGCUGAGGAGCGAAAGCGUGGGGAGCGAACAGG
rnacentral:rRNA from 1 species